rnacentral:rRNA from 1 species
UCCGGUUGAUCCUGCCAGACCCGACUGCUAUCCGGGUGGGACUAAGCCAUGCAAGUCGAAUGGGAUACCUAUAUUUCCCAUGGCGAACUGCUCAGUAACACGUGAUCAACUUACCCUGUGGAGAAAAAUAACUUCGGGAAACUGAAGAUAAUUCUUCAUAAUUGAGAAUGCUUGGAAAGGUUUCUCAAUAAAAGAACAUUUCAAAUGGGAAAUGUAUCGCCGCAGGAUAGGAUCGCGUCCGAUUAUGGCAGUUGGUGAGGUAAUGGCUCACCAAACCUAUUAUCGGUAAGGGCCGUGAGAGCGGAAGCCCUGAGAUGGGUACUGAGACAAUGACCCAGGUCUUACGAGACGCAGCAGGCGCGAAACCUUCACAAUGCACGAAAGUGAGAUGAGGUUACCCGGAGUGCUACAAAGUAGCUGUGGCAGGUGAGUAAGGUUCCCUGCUAGGAAGGAGAGGGCAAGGCUGGUGCCAGCCGCCGCGGUAAAACCAGCUCUUCAAGUGGUCGGGAUUAUUAUUGGGCUUAAAGUGUUCGUAGCCUGUUUAGUAAGUUCUUGGUUAAAUCGGAUAGCUUAACUAUCUGUCUGCUAAGAAUACUACUAUACUAGGGGGCGGGAGAGGUCUGAGGUACUCCAGGGGUAGCGGUGAAAUGCUAUAAUCCUUGGGGGACCACCAGUGGCGAAGGCGUCAGACUGGAACGCGCCCGACGGUGAGGGACGAAAGCCAGGGGAGCGAACCGGAUUAGAUACCCGGGUAGUCCUGGCCGUAAACGAUGCGUGCUAGGUGUUGGUAUAGCUAUGAGCCGUAUCAGUGCCGUAGGAAAACCGAUAAGCGCGCCGCCUGGGGAGUACGGUCGCAAGGCUGAAACUUAAAGGAAUUGGCGGGCGAGCACCACAAGGGGUGAAGCCUGCGGUUCAGAUUGGAUUCAACGCCGG